GUUGAACUUUUUUAAAGCUCAGAAGUUUUGAAUGAAGAAAUCAGUUAUUUGUUUGAGUAUAUUACUUUCUAUAAUGCUUGCAGUUUCUGAAGCUCAAAAAGGAAUCUUCUGGGAUAAAGGACCUGAUGAACAAAAAAAGAUAAAAAAGAAAAUCGACUAUUAUAAAAGCACAAAACAACUAAAUGUAAUUGUUAAUGAGGCUGUCGAUGAAGCCUUUGAAGAAAUCAUGGUGCAGAAAAUGACGUAGUAUUGUUGAACAUGAACGUUUUUUGAAAAUUCCAAUGGUUCCUGAAAAAGCAGUUCACUAGAUUUCUCCGCACGGAGUGUGUUAUAUCUUCAGCAAAUCAAGUUGAAACAUCUUCAUAAGUUUUAAAAUCAAGUUUUAAAAAGUUACAUAACAAAUAUAUUCAUUAAUUUUAUU